rnacentral:rRNA from 1 species
UACGGGGGGGGCAAGCGUUGUUCGGAAUUACUGGGCGUAAAGGGCUCGUAGGUGGCCAAUUAAGUCAGACGUGAAAUCCCCAGGCUUAACCUGGGAACUGCGUCUGAUACUGGUUGGCUUGAAUUCGGGAGAGGGAUGCAGAAUUCCAGGUGUAGCGGUGAAAUGCGUAGAUAUCUGGAGGAAUACCGGUGGCGAAGGCGGCAUCCUGGACCGAGAUUGACACUGAGGAGCGAAAGCCAGGGGAGCAAACAGG